AUAGUACUCCCUCUGUCCGAAAAUACUUUUCAUAGGAAUGGAUGUAUCUAGAUGUAUUUUAGUUCUAGAUACAUCCAUUUGUGCGACAAGUAUUUUCGUACGGAGGGAGUAAUAG
rnacentral:pre_miRNA from 1 species